rnacentral:lncRNA from 1 species
GUGAGCACAAGCUGGGUGAGCACCUGUCGGGAUGUCACAGGAGGAGGAGUAGGUCCUUCCCUCGCUGCGAUGCUGUGGCUCCGAGCGGCAGUCAGCGGCACUCCUCUCUUGGGUUUAGCCUUCGACGUUGGUGCAGAAGCUGGAAGUGUUUCACUUACACAGAAAAGAGACUGAGAUCUUCUUCUCCCAUGAGGCCAGCAUUUUCCCCAGAGAGCCUCAGCUGCUUCCCUUCAGGAGACCAGCACCUGCUGCGACUCAGGUUGGGGGAGAGCUGGACACUCCUCCAGCUGUGCUCUUUCGGCAGGCGGAGCCGGCUCAUACACGAGCAGUGUCCUGAGUUGCAUUAUUGUCAUGUCCCUUCAGCUCGGAUCUUGGAAUGAAGAAG